GAUGAACGCUGGCGGCGUGCCUAAUACAUGCAAGUCGAGCGAAGAGGGCACGGGUGUGUGACAUGUGGAUAACCCCCUAUAAGACUGGGAUUAACUCGGGAAACCGGUGCCUAUCCCGAUACUUAUACAUGGUUCCGCGCUGCAUUAGCUAGUGGGUAGGGUAACGGCUUACCAAGGCUACGAUCCUUCGCCGACCUGAGAGGGUGAUCGGCCACACUGGAACUGAGACACGGUCCAGACUCCUACGGGAGGCAGCAGUAGGGAAUAUUCCGCAAUGGGCGAAAGCCUGACGGAGCCACGCCGCGUGAAUGAAGAAGGUCUUCGGGUCGUAAAACACUGUUAGUAGGGAAGCGGUACCUGAUCAGAAAGCCACGGCUAACUACGUGCCAGCAGCCGCGGUAAUUC
rnacentral:rRNA from 1 species